GACGAACGCUGGCGGCGUGCUUAACACAUGCAAGUCGAGCGGAAAGGCCCUGCUUUUGUGGGGUGCUCGAGUGGCGAACGGGUGAGUAACACGUGAGUAACCUGCCCUUGACUUUGGGAUAACUUCAGGAAACUGGGGCUAAUACCGGAUAGGAGCUCCUGCUGCAUGGUGGGGGUUGGAAAGUUUCGGCGGUUGGGGAUGGACUCGCGGCUUAUCAGCUUGUUGGUGGGGUAGUGGCUUACCAAGGCUUUGACGGGUAGCCGGCCUGAGAGGGUGACCGGCCACAUUGGGACUGAGAUACGGCCCAGACUCCUACGGGAGGCAGCAGUGGGGAAUAUUGCACAAUGGGCGGAAGCCUGAUGCAGCAACGCCGCGUGCGGGAUGACGGCCUUCGGGUUGUAAACCGCUUUCGCCUGCGACGAAGCGUGAGUGACGGUAAUGGGUAAAGAAGCACCGGCUAACUACGUG
rnacentral:rRNA from 1 species